rnacentral:tRNA from 1 species
GGCGGUAUAGCCAAGUGGUAAGGCCGUGGAUUGCAAAUUCUCUAUACUCCAGUUCGAAUCUGGAUGCCGCCU